CUGCGACGGGGUCAAAACCUACGACAACCGAAGCAAAACAAGCGAAAAUAGGCUAUAAAACUACUGAAACAGAGAAAGAAACUAUUUUUAAUGGAUUCAUGACAUUUCACUGGAUUUAAUGAAACUUGAAUGGGCCUAAACGGAGACCAGACGAAUUAGUUAUGAAUUUUAAAAAAUUAACUGUGUUUUAAAGUAAACAGAAACCUUAAUAAAUUAUUGAGCAAUAAGUGGAGGCGAUGACGUCAACAUUAG
rnacentral:lncRNA from 1 species